rnacentral:rRNA from 1 species
GAUGAACGCUGGCGGUAUGCUUAACACAUGCAAGUCGAACGGAGUACUUCGGUACUUAGUGGCGGACGGGUGAGUAACACGUGAGAAUCUGCCUUCAGGACCGGGAUAACUACGGGAAACGGUAGCUAAAACCGGAUGUGCCGAGAGGUGAAGUAUUAAUAGCCUGAAGAGGAGCUCGCGACCGAUUAGUUAGUUGGCGGGGUAAGAGCCCACCAAGACAGCGAUCGGUAGCCGGUUUGAGAGGACGACCGGCCACACUGGGACUGAGACACGGCCC